AUUGAACGCUGGCGGCAGGCCUAACACAUGCAAGUCGAACGGUAACAGGAAGAAGCUUGCUUCUUUGCUGACGAGUGGCGGACGGGUGAGUAAUGUCUGGGAAACUGCCUGAUGGAGGGGGAUAACUACUGGAAGCGGUAGCUAAUACCGCAUAACGUCGCAAGACCAAAGAGGGGGACCUUCGGGCCUCUUGCCAUCGGAUGUGCCCAGUUGGGAUUAGCUAGUAGGUGGGGUAACGGCUCACCUAGGCGACGAUCCCUAGCUGGUCUGAGAGGAUGACCAGCCACACUGGAACUGAGACACGGUCCAGACUCCUACGGGAGGCAGCAGUGGGGAAUAUUGCACAAUGGGCGCAAGCCUGAUGCAGCCAUGCCGCGUGUAUGAAGAAGGCCUUCGGGUUGUAAAGUACUUUCAGCGGGGAGGAAGGGAGUAAAGUUAAUACCUUUGCUCAUUGACGUUACCCGCAGAAGAAGCACCGGCUAACUCCGUG
rnacentral:rRNA from 1 species